CCUCUGCCUGCCUUCAGCCUCUGGACCCUCCUGGUUCCCCCCUUCUACCGCUCUGCUCAUCUCUGAUCAGUGAAAACCAGUCGUGACCAGACCCGGACCCAGUUAUCCCAGAAAUCGUUGUUCUUUAUUGUGAUUUAUCUUCAAUAAACUUUGUGAACUUUU